rnacentral:tRNA from 1 species
UCCCUGGUGGCUCAGAUGGUAAAGAAUCUGCCUGAAAUGCAGGAGACCUGGGUUCAAUCCCUGGGUUGGGAA